UCCUGGAUCAACAUCAGUGAAGCUGCGCACAGAGAUUCACUCCGAGCGUCUGAGGCCACUGUGCCUGCUGCUCGGAGUCAGUGGAAACAGUUUGAGGGGCUGGACCUGAGUGAACUUGAACCCCUCCUUUGUCACAUCAACCUCCUCCCACAGAAGAGGAGGAGGAAGAGGUGGAGGAGGAGAAGGAGGAGGAGGAGGGUGUGUUCAGCUCCGGUUCCUGGAACUGCAUCCUGGUCAGAAUCCGGAUCCUGGAGAAACCUCAGUGAGUCAGAAAGUUAACACAGCGUCAUAUCACUCGAGAACACGUUUCUUUAAUUCAAUGAGAAGUUGGAUGAUCUUUGACAAAAACUUUUUUAACCGAUUUCAAUUCAACAAAAACUUUGACAUCAGUUUGGAAUGAAAAACAAUCAUCCUGUUUGAUCGGUCAGACGAAGCGAGGAGAGACGCGUCUACUGGUUCCUCUUGUGAGUCACGUCACUUAAACUUAUCUUUAUUGUCUUCAUUUGAAUCUAAAUUUAUCACUUCACCUCGUACAAAAUCUUCCACCAUGUUUGUUCUGGUUCAAUCUGACAGACUUGAACAUUUUUAUUCAUUUACAUUUGAAAAAAGUUCCAAAGUUUUACAACCUUUCCCAGUUUCUGUUGAAACUCAAGGUUUUCAAGUCCAGUGAGAAAACGUCAGUGUCAAUAGACUGAGAAGGAAAAUACAAGUUUAAAGUCAACAAAAGCAUAAAUAAAAAAAGCUAAAUCAUGUAAAUAUAAUGUUGAACGAGCCUUUCCAGGGAUGAGAAGCUGGAAAAGUAAAUAUGUUCUGCAGCAAUGGAGGGAAAUGAAUGCUUGCACAGAUGAAACUUACAAACUCUGUACAAAUAUUGGAAUAAACUGUCACUUCCCCAUCAGACUGAUCACAGCUUAAUCCUACAACGAGAUCAUGACCUGAACCAGGAGCCGAAGAGAAGCAGACAAGGUUUCACAUGAUGAAGGAGCAGAACAGUCUCAGAAUUAAACCCCACAGAACAGAUCCGUGAGGAUUCAUCCAGGUCACGGCUUCUUCAGGAGUCACACGAGUUCACCUCGGUGAUGUCAGUGCAACACGUUGAUCUUCUGCAGAGGAGCAACGUGUGGUGGAGUGGAGAGAAAGUCCCAGUGUGCUGCUGAGUGGGUGAAAGAGUCAGAUUCAACUUGAUGAUUAAAGCUUUUAUUUAUCUCUGUGCUUGGAUCCCAGAGUCACUUCACUGAGACUUCACAACUUAUCUGUUGUUGCAUUUCUGUUGCUGACACAGACCUUGGAUCUGUGGAUAAGAGGGUGACAUGCAUAUGUUCAUGUGAAUGCAGCCGUUUGCAGGUUUCCUGUGUUUCAAUGGCCUCGCUGCUCCUGGAUGAUCUCUGUGGGUCACAUGAGGCUCGGAGGUGGCUGCACUCAGGACGAGGGACAUCAGACAUAAAUCCAUGUCUGAUUACCACAGGACCAGGAAGACGAGAACCCUGGUGUGGGUCAGAGGGCAGGUCACAAGUUCCAUGAAGCACUAAAUGAUUUUCCACCGGCUCUAAUGCCACUAACAAGAAUGAGAUCACACGGCACGAACACAGAGGGGCUGUAAAGAAUCCUGGUAAGAAAUGUUCAGAGAUGUAAAGGAAGCAGACGCUGCUCGUCAGACCUUUGACUUCGUGAAGAAAAUAGAUUUUCACAAAAUCAUAAUUCCAUCUAAAGUUAGAGAAGCUGUUAAUAUUACACUUUAUUCUAUUGUUUUCCAUCUGCAUGUGUCUCAUGGCUGUUUCUGGUCCAAUGCAGUGAUCACGUCUGUGUUGAUAAUAACCCUGAGAGAGCAGCAGUGUGGAAACCUUUUGGUUUCUUCUGUCCCACCCACUGCAAAACAGAGAGGAGUGGACCAAACUGUGGAUUUGAAGAAUCAUCGCACUUUCAUUCCAUCUGUGUAAAAACAAAGAAUAACCCUAAUGCCACCAAAGCUCCAGCUCUUGUUUUGUCUCACAGUCGCAGUACAACUCUCUACUUUCUCCUGGAAGUCAUGACUGUCUCGUUUUUUGGUGUUUAUGUAAAAGGCCGGCUGACUCAUGCGGUGUGGACGGCGAGGACGAGCAGUCUGCCCCCCCGCACUACAAAGCUGUGUUAUCACAGCUCUGCAGGCAGCUGCUCUGACUCAGCAGAACAAAGACUUUAACUCUUUCUGCACCACAGCCGCCUCAUGUUCAUCCAAAUACAGGAUCACACUGAUGAUGCUGGAGUUAUAUCGACAUGUAAAGCAGCCGAGCUCUUUAACGUUCCCUGAGUCCUAACCUGUCAAACCUGCGAUGAAUGUUAUGGAUCCAUUUCAAUAAAUCCUGAGCCCGAGGACUGUGAUGUGUGAAGAUAUGUGAAGGUGCAGGCAGGGGCUGCAUAAUGAGAGGGGCCCCUCAAGAACCUCCGAUUCCAUUAGUCCACAGUGACUUAGUGAGCAGCUCCUUGGCUGAAACCUCCUGAUGAGGCCCCGUGAUAUUAGCUGUCUGCAAAAAGCUUUGUAACUUUGGAGGUUUGUUUGAAUGUGUGUAUGAUGUUCCUGUGACCACGGUGGAGGUUUGCACUUUACUGUUGUUUAUGUUCAUGCAGCGUUUGCACCUUGUUCGUAAUUUUGAUAAAGGAAUAAUUUGAAGAUCAGAGUGAUGUGGUUUGGCAUCAUGUGCUCAUGUCCCUUUUGCCUGGGGCCCUUAAAGUCCCAUGUAACAAUAUCUGUCUUGAUGAAAACAGAUUCAUAUUGAGGGAAACUUCAUAUAUUUAUGAUUUAUCUGGAGUUUAAACUGGGUUUGGUUAAGAGUCUGUUGGGCCUUGCUGGAGAUCUGAGCUCUGCUGAGCAACAUUCUGGUUUCAUCUUUAUCUUUGUCCUUCACUUUUCUAUUAUAUUCUUCAAUGUUUUCUUGCCUUUGAUGUCUCCUCAUUAAAAUGUUACAUCAGC